rnacentral:lncRNA from 1 species
UACUACAUGCCCCUGUGCGGGACAGGCUGCCUAGGCUCUCCUCUCGGCUCUCCUCUCAAAGGGUUGAAAACACACAGCCGCGUUUUGACAAUUUUAAGAGACUUUGUAAAGAAAAUGUUCUUGUGGCCACAGGGUAAACUAAUAUCCUGGGAGAACUUCGAUGCCACGGGGGAGGACAGUUUCUCUGAGGAGGUAGGAUCUCUCUUCUGCCUACUAUCAAAAUGGCAACAAGCAAGCUUUUCUUCCAAGAGUAGCAUCCAAAAGGAUAUUUCAAACUGGGGAGCUCCCAGCAGAGGUAGAAAAGAAGAAAGUGAACGCUGGCCCCAGGGAGAGGCCUUCUCGCAGUUGAUUACUUCCAAGUCAUGGACCUUGGACACUACAGAAUUGUGGAGGACAAAAUGAGCCCUAAAUAAAUGCAGAUGAUUCCCCAUGGGAGGAAAUAAAAAUGAGAGUUCGACUGCCAUGGUUAAUGUGAAUUCAUGGCAAAAUGCAUGGUGCACUGAGCUCCAGGGAUCCCUGCGCCCACCCAGUGCAUUGGCUGUAGACUCCUUCAACCCCACUCCCUCUGCUAUGGGUGUUCAGAGAAGAUCUCUUUAUGCCCAGACCCAAGCUCAUUACCCCAUACAUUUAAUGUAUUUACGCUCAUUCAUUCAUUCGUUCAGUUCACAGAAACCUGCCGGGCACAAACAGCG